UACAGAGGUUUCAAGCGUUGUUCGGAUUCAUUGGGCGUAAAGGGUGCGUAGGUGGCGCUGUAAGUCGGGUGUGAAAUUUCGGAGCUUAACUCCGAGACUGCAUUCGAUACUGCGGUGCUUGAGGACUGGAGAGGAGACUGGAAUUCAUGGUGUAGCAGUGAAAUGCGUAGAGAUCAUGAGGAAGACCAGUGGCGAAGGCGGGUCUCUGGACAGUUCCUGACACUGAGGCACGAAGGCCAGGGGAGCAAACGGG
rnacentral:rRNA from 1 species